GCAGCACGUAGAAGUGGUGCAUUGGUUGCAAUCACAGCUUCAGAUAUGUCCUGCAUCGAGAGACAUUAUGAUGAUUUCUGGGAAAUUGUAGAGAACUAUGCAGAUGUUGUGUUUGCUAACAGCAAUGAAGCAAGAGCUUUAUGUGAUUUUUCCCCAAAGGAAAGUACAAUUUCAGCUACAAGGUAUCUUAGUCACUUUGUUCCACUAGUGUCUGUUACAGAUGGGCCAAGAGGCUCCUAUAUGGGUGUAAAAGGAGAAGCUGUAUAUAUUCCUCCGUUCCCAUGUGUACCGGUCGACACUUGUGGUGCUGGGGAUGCAUAUGCAUCUGGUAUUUUGUAUGGCAUUUUACAGGGUGUAUCAGAUCUGAAAGGAAUGGGUACACUAGCAGCUAGGAUUGCGGCCACAGUUGUUGGGCAACAGGGUACUCGGCUUAGAGUUCAGGAUGCUCUCAAGUUAGCAGAGUCAUUUGCAUUUAGUCUUGAGAAUAACACCAGUAGGUCAGAUGUUGGUUCUGAUCGUAUUUCCAGCCUGUAACAUGGUGCCUCGGGUCAUUUUCAUUUCUCGAUUCUUUUUGUAGACUCUCUCUGUCAAUAGCCUUAUUCCUGUGUACAUUAUAUUAUAAUUAUACACUAUUA
rnacentral:misc_RNA from 1 species